UACAGAGGGUGCGAGCGUUGUCCGAAAUCACUGGGCGUAAAGGGCGCGUAGGUGGUGGCUUAAGCGUGCGGUGAAAGCUCGGAGCUCAACUCCGAGUCGGCCGUGCGAACUGGGCUCACUGGAGCAUAGUAGAGGCAGGUGGAAUUCCGGGUGUAGCGGUGGAAUGCGUAGAGAUCCGGAAGAACACCGGUGGCGAAGGCGGCCAACUGGACUGGUAUUGACGCUGAGGCGCGAAAGCGUGGGGAGCAAACAGG
rnacentral:rRNA from 1 species